UCCAGAAGAAUCUGCGAGGUUCCUCAAUU
rnacentral:piRNA from 1 species